CCACGCUCCACGCCCUAUGCUAAAUGCUAGGACCCUGAAAGAGGUCCCCUGGGGCUCCAGGGUAGAAAUGGCAGGCUCUUGCAACACAAUUAGAAAAAAGCUCUGCUGUUAGAGAGAGGCUGUCACGUGCUGCCACAUAGUCCUCCCUGCAUGGAGGUGAUUGUGCCCUUGGGAGCCAGGAAAUGCCUCCAACAACAGGCGAGCUGGAUAGGCCCUUUGAGAGGUAGUCCAGCUCCCUCACUGUACAGAGAAGGAAGCCAUGGACCUGAAGUAUAGAAAAGAUAAACUGCAAAUCAAGACUACACGUGGUGACUUGCUUGGGGAAAGUCAUGUCUUGAGCCGAUCCAUGGAGAGGCCCACAUGGCAAGGAAAUGAAGCCUCCUGCCAGCAGCCACUGGAGUGAACCUGAAAUGGAUUCUCCAGCCCUAGUUUUGUCUUCAGAGGCUACAGCCCUGGCCAACAGCUUGGCCCCAUGAAAGGCCCAGAGCUGGAACAAGCCAUUCCCAAGUCCUGACUCUCAAUAUAUAGAUAAUAAAUGCUUGUCUAAAGCUAC